rnacentral:rRNA from 1 species
AAGACCUUGCACUUUUGGAGCGGCCGAUGUCUGAUUAGCUAGUUGGUGGGGUAAUGGCCUACCAAAGCUUCGAUCAGUAGCUGGUCUGAGAGGACGGCCAGCCACACUGGGACUGAGACACGGCCCAGACUCCUACGGGAGGCAGCAGUGGGGAAUUUUGGACAAUGGGCGCAAGCCUGAUCCAGCCAUGCCGCGUGAGUGAAGAAGGCCUUCGGGUUGUAAAGCUCUUUCAGCCGGGAAGAAAAGGUUGCGACUAAUAAUCGCAAUUCAUGACGGUACCGAAAGAAGAAGCACCGGCUAACUACGUGCCAGCAGCCGCGGUAAUACGUAGGGUGCGAGCGUUAAUCGGAAUUACUGGGCGUAAAGGGUGCGCAGGCGGUUUUAUAAGUCAGAUGUGAAAUCCCCGGGCUUAACCUGGGAACU